UACAGAGGGGGCAAGCGUUGUUCGGAAUUACUGGGCGUAAAGGGCGCGUAGGCGGCCUUCUAAGUCGAACGUGAAAUCCCCGGGCUCAACCCGGGAACUGCGUCCGAUACUGGAAGGCUUGAAUCCGGGAGAGGGAUGUGGAAUUCCAGGUGUAGCGGUGAAAUGCGUAGAUAUCUGGAGGAACACCGAUGGCGAAGGCAGCCCCCUGGGCUAACACUGACGCUCAGGCACGAAAGCGUGGGGAGCAAACAGG
rnacentral:rRNA from 1 species